AUGCCGCCGCUGGCCGCCGCCCUGCUCCUCCUGCUCUGGGCCGCAGCCUCCUCGGCCUCUGCUGCCAGCUUCACCUGCGCCAAACCGAGCACAUGCCGCUCCGCCGUCGCCUACGUCGUCCCCAUCGCCACCACCUACGAGCAACUCGCUUCCCGCUUCAGCCCCACCGCCACCCUUCAGCACCUCCUCGCCGCCAACCAACUCCCGCCCCACACCGACACCAGCAAAGUCAUUCCCGCGAAAACAGCCGUGCGCAUCCCCUUCAGGUGCCGCUGCGCCGGCGGCGUGGGCCAGUCGGACCUGGAGAUGUACACCGGCGGCCGUGGCGAUGACUACUUCAUGGAGGUCGUCACCGCCAACAACGUUGGCGCAGGCAAAUACUAUGGGUGGAGGCCGCUGCCCUGCAGCUGCGACAAGGUGGACGGCUCCAACGUGAUGCACCUUGCCUACGUGAUCCUCCGCACAGGCGACAACACCUCCGAGAUUGCCGCCAUGUAUGGGCUGCGAGAGUCAACGCUGCUCAGGAUCAAUAAUAUCACUAGCAGCCAGCUGCUGCUUCGCCAAGGCCACAUUCUUGAUAUCCCGCUAUUCCAUGGAAUGGGCACAUGGUCCAGGGUACAUUAUAUCUCAACACAUAGGGAAAGAAGAUUGAAUGAAGGGGAUUCUGCGGUGACGGCAUCAAAAUUAAGCGAUUUGGCUUGCGCCACGAACAGAUUCUCCAGGGAUGCUCUUCUUGGAGAGGGUAAGUUUGGCGCGGUAUAUAAGGCAACGUUGAAGGGCCAGGUAGUGGCCGUGAAGAAAAUAAAAGCAGAGGGAAAGCUUGAGGACUUCCACCGCGAGUUGCAGACAGUUGGUAACACAAGGCACGAGAAUCUUGUUGACCUCAAAGGUUGGUGCGGCAAAAUCAGAGUGAUCGAUGGCAAGACUUGGUGGAAAAGGGUUAUCAAGGUUGAACUCUUCCUCGUCUUUGAGUUCAUACCUAAUGGCGACCUUGAGCGCCACCUGGACAACAGCAACCAAGUUCUAUCAUGGGACAAAAGGUACAAAAUAGUGAAGGGCAUAGGGUCAGCACUUCAUUAUCUCCAUCACGAGUGUAAUCCAUGCAUCCUGCAUAGAGAUAUCAAGCCUGGCAACAUACUCCUGGAUGAAUAUUUCAACGCUAAGCUUGGGGACUUCGGGCUAUCCAUGAUCACCAGCAAAAACAGAGCGACCGUGGUCACAACCGCCGUGGGGUCAGUGGGAUACAUGGAUCCACAACUAAUGAAACACGGGGUUGUGGAGUUCAACCGUAAGUCGGAUGUGUACAGCUUCGGAAUCGUCCUACUAAAGAUUGCAUGUACAAAUAAGUCAAGGGAGGAAGUCUGGCAGAUGCGCGGUGGCAGUGAGCAGCAAGUUCAGGUGGAUGGUGUUGUGGAUGACAGGUUACGCUUCUUUGACCGUACCGAGAUGGAGCGUGUGGUUGUCCUUGGCCUCAAGUGUUCUCACUCAGAAGAGGCACAACGACCUUCCAUGCAGGAUGCAAUGAAAUUCCUCGAGGACGGCCAGGAGUUUCCUCCCACAACACAAGGAGACGACAGCUAUGGUGUGCCCUGCACUGUAAACGAGGAGGCACCUAUGAUGACACAUGGUGAUGUCUCUUCUUGUUACCCUUGA
rnacentral:rRNA from 1 species